rnacentral:misc_RNA from 1 species
GUUGAUGCUGUGAAACUGCUUUUAGCAGCAGGUGCUGAUCCUAAUUUGGUAGAUGCCAAUGGUCAUCGACCAAUUGAUGUUAUUGUUGUUCCACCAAAGCUCCAAGGUGUGAAAUUUACUCUUGAAGAACUUCUUGCCACUGAUGGUUCUGUUAUUGAGCGCAAUUUGAGGGUUUCCACACCUACCUCAAAUUCAAAUUCUCCACCUCUUUCACCUUCAGUGGAAAAUGGCUCCCCAUUGUCUGCAUCAGAUUCUCCUGUGAAGUCAAAGCUAAAUGAUGCACCUGUUUUCUCUGCAUCAGAGAAAAAA